CUUCCUGAAAAAAAAUAUUAUGGGUCCUUAUUAUAACCUUAAUUAAUGAAGUAGUUUUGGUGGUGGUUUGCAAGUAAUAAAUAAAUUGAUACAUCGACAAGACUGUGUGUUGCCACUGCUCUAAGUUGCGUGGAUCGAAACAAAAGACAUAGCAAUAGAAUUAAGAUGCAGCAGAGUUCAAGAUCACGAAAAGCGGCAUUGAGAGUCAGAGUUCCUUCGCGGAAGCUCAUGAUUCUCUCUCUCGCCAUUUUCGCCAUUCUCCCUCCCAUUUUCUUCCACUUCCGCCUCCGACGCCUCCAACAGCUGCAACUCACAAAGUGCCGUUGGCUCAACGAUCCUCCUCUAGUCUGCGCCCACGGUGGCGAUUCCUCCAAGGCUUCUCCAAACACUAUGGCGUCGUAUUUCCACGCUCUUCAGUCUCGCGUCGACUGCAUUGAGAUCGACGUUUCUCGUUCUUCUGACGGAGUUCUCUUUGCUCUCCAUGACAGGGAUUUGCAGCGCUUAAAUGGAAACACUAGUUCUAAAGUUGGUUACAUGAACUCAGAAGAGAUAAGAAAGCUCAGUGCUUCACAUCAGUCUACCUCAAAGUUUACUGAUGAAAGUAUACUUACAAUCCAAGAUGCUCUGAUGUUGACUGCAAAUUCAGUACGACAGAUAGUUCUAGAUGUUAAGGUUGGACCCCCGUUUUAUGAGAAAAAGCUUGCCAAAGAUGUUCUCUCUAUUGUGGAGAAGACGGAGUGCAGCAACUGCCUCAUAUGGGCUAAAAGUGACAUUUUAGCAAGGGAUGUAAUUAAACUCUCAUCAGAAAUUACAGUUGGCUACAUUGUUAUGAGGGAUCCUUCUACUGGAGCUAGGACAAAUUUGUUGAGAAUGAAAGGUGCUGAGGUUGUUGGUGUCUAUCAUCCACUGAUUGAUGAAAAGCUUAUGAAAGUUUUGCACUGGAGGAACAAAAAGGUGUAUGCCUGGACAGUUGAUGAUGCAGAAUCCAUGCAAAAGAUGUUGUUUGAACAUGUUGAUGCUAUUGUUACGAGCAACCCAACUGUUCUUCAACGCCUAAUGCAAGAUAUCAAAACACAAUGUCUUGAAGAAGUACUGACAGCAUAGUGGAGGACACCAAGGUUUCUUGGCAUGAAAGUAUGGUGGAUAUGACACCUAGGACAUAACGUGAUUAAGCAACAAGUAUCUAUUGCAGCAACAAUAUAACAUGGAUUGAAGACGAGAAGAAAUAUAGGAGAAAUUGGAAUUUUGGAACCCACGUUGAAGACAAAUAUAGUCAUAUCAUCAAGGGGAAGAAAAUGGUGUGGAAAAUAGGAAUGGAAAUUUCGGACCUUAGAUUGAAAAUGUCACUAUUAAGGAGAAGAAAAUUUGAAGGUUGUACUCCGGAUAAUAACUUUAUGCCUGCUCCUACGAUUCAAAAGGACGAGACAAAAAUUGCUUCGGGACAAACAAGUAUCUCAAUUUGCUAAAUUGAUUGAAGAGGGUCAGAUAGAGACUGGUAGUAGAUUAAAUCAAGAAUCGUCUAUUACUAAAGUGGGUGACACUCGUUGGGGUCCCCACUUUAGGACUUUCACUAGUUUGAUGACUAUAUAUGGUGCCAUUAUUGAGGUACUUGAAGAAGUCGGGAAAGAUACGUCAUUUGAAAAAUAUGGUGAAACUAUGCUUUUACUAGAUGUGCUUCAGUCCUUUGAUUUUAUUUUCAUGUUAUACCUAAUGGUUGAGAUUUUAGUAUUUACAAAUGAUUUAAGUGUAGCGCUACAAAAGCGUGAUCAAGAUCUUUUGAAUGCUUUAUCACUUGUCAAAGCCACCAAAGAAGAAUUACAAGAAAUGAGGAAUGAUGGAUGGGAAGAACUUAUAUCUAAGGUUAUGGAAAAUUGCAAUAAACAUGAUAUUGAUGUGCCUGAUUUGGAUGCAUUGUAUGUGCAAGGGAAGAAACCUAGACGACAUGCUACCACUUCUAGUGUUUCUAAUUUGCAUCAUUAUAAGCAUGAUUAUUUAUUUAGUGUUUUAGAUUUGUAGUUGCAUGAGCUCAAUGCUAGGUUUGAUGAAGAUAAUACUAAACUUUUACAAUGUGUUUCAUGUUUGAGUCCCUCAUCAUCAUUUGAAGCUUUUGAUGUGAAAAAAUUGUUGAGGAUGGUUGAACUUUAUCCAAAUGAUUUUGUAGAUGUGCCGGAAGUGGUGGUGCGACAUCAGCUUCAGAAUUAUGUUAAAAAUGUUCGAUGUGAUCCAAAAUUUGCAAAGUUAAAAGGACUUUCUUGUGGAAACAAAAAAGUGUAACACAUUUGAUAUAGUUUAUAGGCUUCUGAAGUUGGCUUUAGUCUUACCGGUAGCAACUGCAAGCAUGAAACGUGUUUUUUCAGCUAUGAAGUUUUUGAAGAGUCAGCUAUGUAACAAAAUGGGUGAUCAAU